rnacentral:lncRNA from 1 species
UUUUAAAUUUUUAAAGAGUCUAAUUUAGGCAGAUUCAUCCAUUGCAAUGCUGUAGCAGUUUAAUUUUAGCUCCUGGAAUAACCGACCGUCCUUAGAGUAAGUGGCAAAGGGUUUGGUGGUUGAUACUCGAGACCAAAGUUCGAAUCCUAAUUGAUUCACAUUUCCAGCUAAGUUUAUUUCUAAAUGAAAUAAACGAAGCGAGUAGCAUGCUACCUUUCUCUCAAACAAAAAAAAAAAAUAAAAAAAAAAUA